rfam:Ciona savignyi cont_7499, whole genome shotgun sequence.
AAGAUCAUACUUUUAGGGAUCAUUUCUAUAGUGUGCAUCUUGAAAACGUCAUCAAAUUAUGACGAAUCCUUAACUACGAUGAUGAGUUGUACGGAUUCCUUCUGAGCAUGAAGCUUGGUUCGUUGUAUGUUCAGAUGUUGCGAACUAUUGAGAAUUGUUUUUUGAUUUCCAUUUGGGGAUCUGAGAGGAAGGAAUCUCCAGCUGAGUAGU